GCCAUCGGGGAUCAAACAUACAGGUUGC
rnacentral:sRNA from 1 species